rnacentral:rRNA from 1 species
UACGAAGGGGGCUAGCGUUGCUCGGAAUCACUGGGCGUAAAGCGUGCGCAGGCGGCUGCUCAAGUCAGGGGUGAAAGCCCAGAGCUCAACUCUGGAAUUGCCUUUGAGACUGAGUGGCUUGAGUGCGGGAGAGGUGAGUGGAAUUCCCAGUGUAGAGGUGAAAUUCGUAGAUAUUGGGAAGAACACCGGUGGCGAAGGCGGCUCACUGGCCCGUAACUGACGCUCAUGCACGACAGCCGUGGGGAUCAAACAGG